AGUCCGUUGGAGUAGACCCGAAACCGGGUGAUCUACCCAUGUCCAGAGUGAAGCUUUAGUAAAAUAAAGUGGAGGCUCGAACCGACCGUCGUUGAAAAGGCGGCGGAUGAGGUGUGGGUAGGGGUGAAAUGCCAAUCGAACCCGGAAAUAGCUGGUUCUCCCCGAAAUAGCUUUAGGGCUAGCCUUGGGAGAUAAAUACCGGAGGUAGAGCACUGACUGGGCUAGGGGCCUUCACCGGUUACCGAACCCAAUCAAACUCCGAAUGCCGGAUAUAUUAAUCCCGGGAGUCAGACUGCGGGUGCUAAGAUUCGUAGUCAAGAGGGAAACAGCCCAGACCGUCGGCUAAGGUCCCAAAGACAGGCUAAGUGGAAAAGGAUGUGGAGUUGCCCGGACAACCAGGAUGUUGGCUUAGAAGCAGCCACCAUUUAAAGAGUGCGUAAUAGCUCACUGGUCAAGUGGCUCCGCGCCGAAAAUGUAACGGGGCUAAGCCUGUCACCGAAGCUGCGGCAAUGCGCAAGCAUUGGGUAGGGGAGCGUUCCGUACACAGAGAAGCUAUACUGUAAAGAGUAGUGGAGAGUACGGAAGUGAGAAUGCCGGUAUAAGUAAGCGAAAAGGCAGGUGAGAAUCCUGCCCGCCGAAAACCUAAGGUUUUCUGGGGAAGGCUCGUCCGCCCAGAGUAAGCCGGGACCUAAGCCGAGGCCGACAGGCGUAGGCGAUGGAGAAUCGGUUGAGAAUCCGAUGCCACUUUCCGCCGAUUGAAGGAUGGGGUGACACAGGAGGGUAAGCUAAGCGCGCGGUUGGAAAAGCGCGUCCAAAGCCGUAGGGAGAGAGGCAGGCAAAACCGUCUCUCGAUACGCCCGAGAGCUGAUGGGGAGCGAAAUAUAGUAGCGAAGUAGCCGAACCCAUACUGUCAAGAAAAACCUCUAACGAGGCGCAGAAAGUGCCCGUACCGCAAACCGACACAGGUAGGUGGGGUGAGAAUCCUAAGGCGCGCGAGAGAACCCUCGUUAAGGAACUCGGCAAAAUGACCCCGUAACUUCGGGAGAAGGGGUACCCCGCCAGCGUGAAAACUUUUACAGAGGUAGCGCGAGGGGGUCGCAGAGAAAAGGCCCAAGCGACUGUUUACCAAAAACACAGGUCCCUGCUAAAUCGCAAGAUGACGUAUAGGGGCUGACGCCUGCCCGGUGCUGGAAGGUUAAGGGGAGAGCUUAGGGGCAACCCGAAGGUUUGAACCGAAGCCCCAGUAAACGGCGGCCGUAACUAUAACGGUCCUAAGGUAGCGAAAUUCCUUGUCGGGUAAGUUCCGACCCGCACGAAAGGCGUAACGAUUUGGGCACUGUCUCAACGAGGGGCUUGGCGAACUUGUAAUGCCGGUGAAGAUGCCGGCUACCUGCGACAGGACAGAAAGACCCCGUGGAGCUUUACUGUAACCUGACAUUGGGUUUUGGUAUUGCAUGUACAGGAUAGGUGGGAGACUUGGAAAUCAGGACGCCAGUUUUGGCGGAGUCAACGUUGGGAUACCACCCUUGAAGUAUUGAAGUUCUAACAUAGCGCCGUGAAACCGGUGCGUGGACAGUAUCAGGCGGGCAGUUUGACUGGGGCGGUCGCCUCCCAAAGAGUAACGGAGGCGCCCAAAGGUUCCCUCAGCGCGGUUGGAAAUCGCGCGUUAGAGUGUAAAGGCAGAAGGGAGCUUGACAGCGAGACCAACAAGUCGAGCUGGGACGAAAGUCGGGCUUAGUGAUCCGGCGGUAUCGAGUGGAAGAGCCGUCGCUCAACGGAUAAAAGCUACCCCGGGGAUAACAGGCUUAUCUCCCCCAAGAGUCCACAUCGACGGGGAGGUUUGGCACCUCGAUGUCGGCUCAUCGCAUCCUGGGGCUGUAGUAGGUCCCAAGGGUUGGGCUGUUCGCCCAUUAAAGCGGUACGUGAGCUGGGUUCAGAACGUCGUGAGACAGUUCGGUCCCUAUCCGUCGCAGGCGCAGGAAACUUGAGAGGAGCUGUCCCUAGUACGAGAGGACCGGGAUGGACAGACCACUGGCGUACCAGUUAUCGUGCCAACGGUAGCGCUGGGUAUCUAUGUCUGGCCGGGAUAAGCGCUGAAAGCAUCUAAGCGCGAAGCCCCCCUCAAGAUGAGGUUUCCCACAGCAUAAGCUGGUAAGACCCCUGGAAGACAACCAGGUAGAUAGGCCGGGUGUGUAAGCUCAGCAAUGAGUUUAGCUGACCGGUACUAAUCGGUCGAGGGCUUGACCUG
rnacentral:rRNA from 1 species